rnacentral:rRNA from 1 species
GACGAACGCUGGCGGCGCGCCUAACACAUGCAAGUCGAACGGAGCUGAGAGAAGCUUGCUUUUCUUAGCUUAGUGGCGAACGGGUGAGUAACGCGUGAGUAACCUGCCCUGGAGUGGGGGACAACAGUUGGAAACGACUGCUAAUACCGCAUAAGCUCACGAUCCGGCUUCGGAAUGAGGGAAAAGGAUUUAUUCGCUUCAGGAUGGACUCGCGUCCAAUUAGCUAGUUGGUGAGGUAACGGCCCACCAAGGCGACGAUUGGUAGCCGGACUGAGAGGUUGGACGGCCACAUUGGGACUGAGGCACGGCCCAGACUCCUACGGGAGGCAGCAGUGGGGGAUAUUGCACAAUGGGGGAAAUCCUGAUGCAGCGCCGCCGCGUGGAGGAAGAAGGUUUUCGGAUUGUAAACUCCUGUCGUUAGGGACGAUAAUGACGGUACCUAACAAGAAAGCACCGGCUAACUACGUG